GGAUGAUGGGAGCGGGCGGCGCUGCCCCCACCCCAAAACGGAGCUGACAACGGAGGCUGAGUCGGCACCUGGACUUCAGAAUGGGGACCCUAAAAUCAGCGCCGUGACUGUGAGGCUGGGACCCCAAAACUGGAGGUGGGACCCCAAAACCAGCAGCAGGAUUCUGGAAUUGGAUCCCGAAACUGGAAUUGGGAGCUUGGAAUUGAGACCCCAAAAACAGCAACGGGACCCCCAAACUGGGACCCCAAUAUCAGCACCGGGACCCCAAAACUGAGACCAGGACCUUGUAAGUGGGACCCCAAAAUCAGCAGCAGGACCUGGAAAUUGGACCCCAAUAUCAGCACCGGGACCCCAAAACUGAGACCAGGACCUUGUAAGUGGGACCCCAAAAUCAGCACCAGGACCUGGAAAUUGGACCCCAAUAUCAGCACCGGGACCCCAAAACCGAGACCAAGACCUUAAAGUGGGACCCCAAAAUCUACCCUGGGACCCCAAAAGCAGACCCAUGACGAUGUAAUCAGCAUCAAGGACCCCAAAAUCUGGCACUGGGACCCCAAAUUUCACCACUUGGACCCAAAAAUUAGCAUUGGGGACCCCAAAAUCCGGCACUGAGACCCCAAAUUUCAGCACUCGGACUCCAAACCCAACACCAAGACCCCAAAUUCCAGCACUGGGACCCCAAAUUUCACCACUUGGACCCCAAAAAUCAGCAUUGGAGACCCCCAAAUCCGGCACUGGGACCCCAGAUUUCACCACUUGGACCCAAAAAUCAGCAUUGGGGACCCCAAAAUCCAGCUCUGGGACCCCAAAUUUCAGCACUUGGACUCCAAACCCAACACCAAGACCCCAAAUUCCGUCACUGGGACCCCAAAUUUCACCACUUGGACCCAAAAAUCAACAUUGGGGACCCCAAAAUCCGGCACUGAGACCCCAAAACCAGGACCCAGGACCCAUGGCUGAGGGGUGUCCCCUCCCUGGGGAGGUGACAGAGGGGGACAGCGGUGUCCCCAAAGGGGACGUCGAUGUCCCCGAGGUCACCGUCACUCCUUGGGCCAGCGGCAUCACCAUCACUGUGACGGUGGCACCGGCGGAUGAGGACAUCGAGGACAUUUGGGACAUUGGGGACACCGAGGACGUUGGGGACAUUGGGGACACCGCUGAGGACAUUGGGGGUGCGGAUGUGGGGCGCGGGGACGUCCCCGUUCCACGUGACAGAGAUGUCCCAACCCUGAAGGGUUUUGGGGACGGGGAUGGCAUUGAUGUCACAGCCCUAAAGGACACUGAGGUGACAGAGGUGGUGACACCAAGGGGUGUUGGGGACAGGGAUGUCCCAACCCCGGGGGAUAUGGGGGGCAGGGAUGUCUCCAUCUAUGGGGACAAGGAUGUCCCGGUCCACGAGGAUGAGGGUGACGGGGACAGGGAUGUCAUAGGUGUAUGGGAUGAUGGGGACAAGGGCUUUGGGGACGGGAAUGCCACCACCCCAAGGGACGAAGUUUGGGAUGUCCCCGUUCCCAGUAUGGAGAAGGGCAGUGGGAAUGGGGGUGUCUUGGCUGCUGGAGACGAGGACAUUGGGGACAUCCCAACCGUAAGGGACAUUGGGGACAUCCCAACCGUAAGGGACAUUGGGGACAUCCCAACCGUAAGGGACAUUGGGGACAAGGAUGUCACAACCCCUAAGGACGAGGACACCAAGGAAAAGCCUGUCCCAACCAUGGGGGAUGAGGACUUUGGGGGCGAGGGUGGUGGGGACAGGGAUGUCCCGUCCCCAGUGGGCUUUGGGGACAAGGACACUGGGGACAAGGAUGUCCCAUCCCCUAAUGGCAUUGGGGACAAGGAUAUUGGGGACAAGGACAUUGGAGAGAAGGGUGUCCCAUCCCCCAUGGGCUUUGGGGACAAGGACUUUGGGGACAAGGAUGUCCCAUCCCCCAUGGACUUUGGGGACAAGGACGUCCCAUAUCUCAUGGGCAUUGGGGACAAGGACAUUGGGGACAAGGACUUUGGGGACAAGGAAGUCCCAUCCCCUAUUGGCUUUGGGGACAAGGAUGCUGGGGACAAGGAUGUCCCAUCUGUCACAGGCUUUGGGGACAAGGACUUUGGGGACAAGGGUGUUCCAUCCCCUCUGGGCUUUGGGGACAAGGUCUUUGGGGACAAGGAUGUUGGGGACAAGGAUGUCCCAUCCCCUAAUGGCAUUGGGGGCAAGGAUGUUGGGGAGAAGGAAGUCCCAUCCCCUAUCGGCUUUGGGGACAAGGACGUCCCAUCCCCCAUGGGCUUUGGGGACAACGACAUUGGGGACAAGGAAGUCCCAUCUGUCACGGGCUUUGGGGACAAGGAUGUUGGGGACAAGGAUGUCCCACCCCCUAAGGCCUUUGGGGACAAGGACAUUGGGGACAAGGACUUUGGGGACAAGGACGUGCCAUCCCCCAUGGGCUUUGGGGACAAGGAAGUCCCAUCUGUCACGGGCUUUGGGGACAAGGACUUUGGGGACAAGGAUGUCCCAUCCCCCAUGGGCUUUGGGGACAAGGACGUCCCACCCCCUAAGGCCAUUGGGGACAAGGACAUUGGGGACAAGGACUUUGGGGGCAAGGAUGUCCCAUCCCCUAUGGGCUUUGCGGACGAGGACAAUGGGGACAAGGAUGUCCCAUCCCCUCUGGGCUUUGGGGACAAGGACUUUGGGGAGAAGGAUGUCCCAUCCCCUAUCGGCUUUGGGGACAAGGAUGUUGGGGACAAGGACAUCCCACCCCCUAAGGCCUUUGGGGACAAGGACUUUAGGGACAUGAAUGUCCCAUCCCCUAUCGGCUUUGGGGACAAGGACGCUGGGGACAAGGAUGUCCCACCCCCUAAGGCCUUUGGGGACAAGGACUUUGGGGACAAGGAUGUUGGGGACAAGGAUGUCCCAUCCCCCAUGGGCUUUGGGGACAAGGACGUCCCAUCCCCUCUGGGCUUUGGGGACAAGGACUUUGGGGACAAGGAUGUCCCAUCCCCCAUGGGCUUUGGGGACAAGGACGUCCCAUCCCCUAAGGCCUUUGGGGACAAGGACGUUGGGGACAAGGACAUCCCACCCCCUAAGGCCUUUGGGGACAAGGACUUUAGGGACAUGAAUGUCCCAUCCCCUAUCGGCUUUGGGGACAAGGAUGCUGGGGACAAGGAUGUCCCACCCCCUAAGGCCUUUGGGGACAAGGACAAUGGGGACAUCCCAACCCCAGGAGAUGUUUGGGAUGAGGAGGUUGGGGACAUCCAGGUCCCAACCCUAAGGGACUUUGGGGACAGAGAGUUUGGGGACAGAGAGUUUGGGGACAAAGAGUUUGGGGACAAAGAGAUUGGGGACAAAGAGAUUGGGGACAGGGAUGUUGGGGACAAAGAGAUUGGGGACAAAGAGUUUGGGGACAAAGAGUUUGGGGACAAAGAGAUUGGGGACAAAGAGUUUGGGGACAAAGAGUUUGGGGCCGAGGCCAUCUCAGCCCCGCAGGACUUGGGGGGCAGGGAUGUCCCCCCCCGAGGGGACAUUGGGGUCGUGCCCCACGGGGACGGGGACAUCCCGGCCUUUGGGGUCAGCGAGGAUGGCCGUGGGGACACGGUUGGGGACAUGGGGGGCGUGGAUGUCACCGCCCGGGGGGGUGAUGGGGACAGAGAGGGGACGUCGGGAAGGGUUGGGGGCGUUGAGGGCGCGCGCGGUGCCGGUGACGUCAUCACCAUCACGGUGACGGCCCCGCCGCUGGAGGACGGCCCCGGCGACGAUGACGUCAUCGCUGACGCCAUUGCCGCCCAACCGCGCGGUGUCGCGGGGGGGCGGCGACGUCACAGCUGCGCUUCCCGGUGACGUCAGCCCUGAGGGCGACGUCACCUCGGCGGUGGCGGGGGGUGACGUCGUGGCCGAGCUCGUCGACGGCGAUGACGUCACUUCCUUUCUCCCCGGAGGAGAGCCCGGUGGUGACGUCAUGGCUGCGGGUGAUGUCACUCCCCACCUCCCUGAGGGUGAGCGCAUGGGUGGUGCCGUGCCCGGGAGUGACAUCGAUGAUGACAUCAUCAGUGGAGAUGACGUCAUCUGCUCCCUCCCCAGAGGUGACCAGGCUGAUGGUGUUGUCCCUGGUGGUGAUGUCACUGAUGACGUCACCACGGAUGAAACGGUCGCUUCUUUCCAUGGGGACGACCACGCCCAUGAUGUCAUCCCUGGAGGUGACAUCACUGAUGAUGUCAUCACGGAUGAAACGGUCGCUUCUUUCCAUGGGGACACCCGCACCAAUGAUGUCAGCCACGGGCGUGACAUCAUUGAUGACGUCACGAUGGGUGAAACCAUCUCUUCUUUCCACGAGGGCGUCCACGCUGAUGACGUCACUCACAGAUACGACAUCACUGAUGACAUCACCCAUGGAUAUGACAUCACAGAUGAUGUAAUCAAUUGGGGUGACGUCACUGAUGACGUCAUUAUGAGCGAGGCCAUCACCUCUGCAGGCAGGGAUGUCCAUAUUGGUGACGUCAUCCACGGGGCUGACCUCACUGAUGACAUCACCUACUUGGCUGACCUCACUGAUGACGUCAUCACGGAUGAAACCAUCACUCCUUACCAUGGGGAGAUGGGCGGUGAUGACCUCAUCCACGGAGGUGACCUCAUCGAUGACGUCACCCUUGGAGGCGACCCUGGUGAUGAUGUCACACCCGGUGCUGACAUCACAGCCGCAAGUCCGGGCCGUGAUGUCACACCUGAGCACGAUGACAUCACCCCAAAGGAUGACGUCAUCAGUGACACCAUCAGCCCCGCAGAGGAGCAACCGCUGUGCCCGCGCCGUGACAUCACCGAUGACGUCAUCGCCCACGUGGGGCCCAGGAGGGGCGGAGCUACAGCCGCCCCCCAGCCCCAGACGAACCCCCCCGGCUGCCCCCUCGUCUUCCUCGGCCUCCUCUGCCUCCUCCUCAUCCUCCUCCUCCUCGCCGGCGUCUUUGCGGCGGUGCAUUACGUCAAAGUGUUCCUCAUCAGCUCCGUUCCGAUGGACCCCCCCCCCCCACCCCCAUGAGCCUCUAUGGGUUGGGGGGGGGGCACUGAUGUCACCUUGGGGGGGGGGGGGGGGGACACAGCUGACCCCCCCCCCCUCCCCCAUGAGCCUCUAUGGGGAGGGGGGGACACAGCGAUGUCACCUUAAGGGGGGGGACACACAUCUGACCCCCCCCCAAUGAGCCUCUAUGGGUGGGGGGGGGGCAUCGAUGUCACCUUGGGGGGGGGGACGGACACCUGACCCCCCCCCAAUGAGCCUCUAUGGGUGGGGGGGAACACAACUGAACCCUCCCCCCCCCCCCCACAAUGAGCCUCUAUGGGUGGAGGGGGGGCACCGAUGUCACCUUGGGGGGGGGCACACCUGACCCCCCCCCCACGAGCCUCUAUGGGUGGGGGGGGACAUCGAUGUCACCUUGGGAGGGGGGGACACACACCUAACCCCCCCCCCAAUGAGCCUCUAUGGGUGGGGGGAACACAUAUCACCCUCCCCCCCCACCCCAAUGAGCCUCUAUGGGUGGGGGGGUGACACCAAUGUCACCUUGGGGGGGGGGGACACACCUAAGCCCCCCCCCAUGAGCCUCUAUGGGUGGGGGGGGACAUCGAUGUCACCUAGCGGGGGGGGGGAAACACACCUGACCCCCCUCCAUGAGCCUCUAUGGGUGGGGGGGGCACCGAUGUGACCUUGAGGGGGGGGGACACACACCUGACCCCCUCCCCCCCCCCCAGUGAGCCUCUAUGGGUGGGGGGGGGGACAUCGGUGUCACCUUGGGGGGGGGGGGGGGGGGACACCUGACCCCCCCCCAUGAGCCUCUAUGGGUGGGGGGAACACAUAUCACCCCCCCCCCCCCACCCCAAUGAGCCUCUAUGGGUUGGGGGGGGGACAUCGGUGUCACCUUGAGGGGGGGGACACACCUAAGCCCCCCCCCCAAUGAACCUCUAUAGGUGGGGGGGGGACAUCGAUGUCACCUUGGGGGGGGGGGGGAAACACACCUGACCCCCCCAAUGAGCCUCUAUGGAUUGGGGGGGGGGACACACCUGACCCCCCCCCUCCAUGAGCCUCUAUGGGGGGGGACGACACAGCUGACCCCCCCACCACCACCCCAAUGAGCCUCUAUGGGUGGAGGGGGGGACAUCGAUGUCACCUUGGGGGGGGGGGACACACCUGACCGCCCCCCCCCCCCCCCCCAAUAAAUCAGUAAGGC
rnacentral:lncRNA from 1 species